rnacentral:rRNA from 1 species
AGAGUUUGAUCAUGGCUCAGGAUGAACGCUAGCUACAGGCUUAACACAUGCAAGUCGAGGGGAAACGACAUCGAAAGCUUGCUUUUGAUGGGCGUCGACCGGCGCACGGGUGAGUAACGCGUAUCCAACCUGCCCACCACUGGGUAGGUAACCUUGCGAAAGUAAGACUAAUACCCAAUGAUAUCUCUAGAAGACAUCUGAAAGAGAUUAAAGAUUUAUCGGUGAUGGAUGGGGAUGCGUCUGAUUAGCUUGUUGGCGGGGUAACGGCCCACCAAGGCAACGAUCAGUAGGGGUUCUGAGAGGAAGGUCCCCCACAUUGGAACUGAGACACGGUCCAAACUCCUACGGGAGGCAGCA